ACUUGUUGUUGCAUGCACCCUACCUGGGGCUUAAGCAAACACUGGUCUACACAAAGACGCUCGCGUAUGUUGUAUUUGUGCUGCGCACUACCAAGGUUGGUUAGAGGUACAGUAUUGCACACAAGUUAGACCAGACGUCUUAGACCGGGAAGAAGGACCGCAAAGAUACCUGCAUACCUGCAUACCGUCUUCGGGUAAAGAGUUCCAGUCCUUGACUGAUGAAGAUGAGGGGAUCGCUGGUACUCUUGCUCCUGUUGGUCGCCCUGGUGGCAGUGAAUUCGAAGGACACCGAGGCGGAAUGCGCAUGCCCUCCUGACUGUGAGAAUUGCGGACGUUACCGCGAAGUCUACAUCUUGGCGAAGCGCAAGGCUCGAGAGCUGGCAGCAGAUGAGUGCUGUCAGAGGGGCCUUGAUUGCUGUGUUGAAGGAUGAAGGAUGGUCAGACGUCAUCCAGUGCUACGCAUGCUUCAUGACGUAACCGAGCUCAAACAUGCAUCAUUGUCAGAGGCCCCCGUUGUGCUUUAAGUCUAAUCUCCAAGCAGAUCUUUUAGUGGGGGUAAGACAGUAUCAAAUUGGCCAGUCUGUAGCCAUUUCCCCACCCAAGAUCUGCCUGUAGUCGAAACGUCAAAGGCUAUUAACACCUAGUUGUUGCCUGAUCAAAAUAUUCUUGCCAAGUAGUUUAUUGCCCUGACCACCAGGCAAGGCUCUUGGCUUCAUGUGGGCCAGCUGGUUGAGCAUUACAGGAAGUCUCUCUAUGGGUCCCCUCACCAACUUGGGUGGGGAAAUGGCUACAGACUGGCCAAGUUGAUACUGUCUUACCCCCACCAAAAGAUCUGCUUGGAGAUUACUUUAAGCCGUUUGGUGUUUGAAGUGUUUCGCUGUAUCAGCUUCUGCUAGCUUAAAACGUUUGGCAGUGUGUACAGAAUGUUGUUGAUCACCAGAAGCCAAAUUUCACAUUAAGCAUUUUCACAAAGAAGACUCCUCCAAUGAUUUAGUGACAAAAUAUUAAUUCGUUUGUGAACUAUUCAAUUCUAUAACUAAACAUCUGCCCUGUAUUGCGCAUAAUAGUGUUACAUUUGACAUCUGUAAAGCGACUCUUCAGUUCAAAAUGACCAUUAACAUUAACUAUGUGUUAGGCGAAGAGGCAUAUUUGAUAAACUAACACACGAGGAAUCAGAAACACUGUGUAACACUCAUAGGAUGUGUAGGUUUGUACAAGUUUGGCUGUUCAAUUGACACUCAUCCCAACACUAUUCGCAAAACUUUACUUAUAGAUGACCAAGUGAAAGCAGGCUAUAAUAGAAAACCAGUACUACAGGUUUACGUAAAAUUUGGGAAGUGACUAGACUGUUACUGUAGUAACGCUUCCUGUUCGUUUGAAAACUUUCUGAUGAUCUGUACGGUUUUGCCUGGCUCGAUGUGAUCAAGUAUAAAGUCACGACACACUGGCUCUUAAUCUUGGAAAUAUUCUGAUCUUCAUUACUGUGUUACAAGAUGAAUAAACGCAUAUUUUGUGUGCACU